CACCGGCCACUAAGGCUUCCAGCUCACUGCACUGGGAGGAGUCCAUGAGGGAGCAGGCUCCUGAACACAGAGACUGACUUGGUCAAGGUCAGCUUUAUGAGGCUGAGGUCACCCUCUGUCCAUGACUUGAAGGCUAUCCAGAGAACUCCAACCAAUUUGUCACCUGAGAUCACACCACUGGAAACACACUCCUUAUCUCUGGAGCAACCUGGAACUUUGACCUCUGCCCCUGACUUUGAGACAGUGAUGGAAAGGGGACACGGAAUCAUGAAGCAGAGGCUGAAAGGGCCCUUAAUCCAAACACCGCUGAUCUCGGGUUUUCUUGGCUGUAAUAUUUACGGAAGCAG